UACGUAGGGUGCAAGCGUUGUCCGGAAUUAUUGGGCGUAAAGAGCUCGUAGGCGGUCUGUCGCGUCGGCUGUGAAAACCCGGGGCUCAACCCCGGGCCUGCAGUCGAUACGGGCAGACUAGAGUGCGGUGGGGGAGACUGGAAUUCCUGGUGUAGCGGUGAAAUGCGCAGAUAUCAGGAGGAACACCGGUGGCGAAGGCGGGUCUCUGGGCCGUAACUGACGCUGAGGAGCGAAAGCGUGGGGAGCGAACAGG
rnacentral:rRNA from 1 species